CCUACGGGUGGCAGCAGUGAGGAAUAUUGGUCAAUGGACGAGAGUCUGAACCAGCCAAGUAGCGUGAAGGAUGACUGCCCUCUGGUUUGUAAACUUCUUUUAUAUGGGAAUAAAAUGUUCCACGUGUGGGAUUUUGUAUGUACCAUAUGAAUAAGGCACGGCGAACUCCGUGCCAGCAGCCGCGGUAAUACGGAGGAUCCGAGCGUUAUCCGGAUUUAUUGGGUUUAAAGGGAGCGUAGGUGGAUUGUUAAGUCAGUUGUGAAAGUUUGCGGCUCAACCGUAAAAUUGCAGUUGAAACUGGCAGUCUUGAGUACAGUAGAGGUGGGCGGAAUUCGUGGUGUAGCGGUGAAAUGCUUAGAUAUCACGAAGAACUCCGAUUGCGAAGGCAGUUCACUGGACUGCAACUGACACUGAGGCUCGAAAGUGUGGGUAUCAAACAGGAUUAGAUACCCCAGUAGUC
rnacentral:rRNA from 1 species